CAACCUAAAUGAUUCCAUGAUGCUGAGGUUUGGUGAAAAACCCUCCACCUGGUCCCAACUCCACACUCUUUGAUCCUCACUGGAUAUAUCCUGAGAUAUUUCUCUAUUCCAGGUGUCCAUUUCCAAUCAGCCUUUCACAAAACGUUUUUUAACACCAAACCUGGAAAGAGAGGGAAUCUUUUUAACAUAAAGGUCACAAAUCAAAGCUUUAUUUUAGCAGGACUGGUGGGCAGCCAAGGGAAAGAGGCACACGGAGAAGAAGAAUGUGGCAUUCAGGAGAGCACCUUUCACUGACUUGUGGGUCUUGUCCUCUGGUUUUGCUGGCAGAAAAUUGCUGUCUUGG